UACGGAGGGUGCGAGCGUUGUCCGGAAUCACUGGGCGUAAAGGGCGCGUAGGUGGCGCGGGCAGUCAACGGUGAAAGUUCGGGGCUCAACCCUGAAUCGGCCGUCGAUACUCCUGGGCUCGAGCACUGUAGAGGCAGAUGGAAUUCCGGGUGUAGCGGUGGAAUGCGUAGAGAUCCGGAAGAACACCGGUGGCGAAGGCGGUCUGCUGGGCAGUUGCUGACACUGAGGCGCGACAGCGUGGAGAGCAAACAGG
rnacentral:rRNA from 1 species